rnacentral:rRNA from 1 species
UACGGAGGGUGCGAGCGUUGUCCGGAAUCACUGGGCGUAAAGGGCGCGUAGGCGGCGCGGAUAGUCGGCGGUGAAAGCCCGGAGCUCAACUCCGGGUCGGCCGUCGAUACUUCCGGGCUUGAGCACUGUAGAGGCAGAUGGAAUUCCGGGUGUAGCGGUGGAAUGCGUAGAGAUCCGGAAGAACACCGGUGGCGAAGGCGGUCUGCUGGGCAGUUGCUGACGCUGAUCGCGCGACAGCGGUGGGGAGCAAACG